AUGCAGUGUGGUUUCAUUUUCACUUCUGGUCUGCUGCUAAUCAUUUGUAGAAACGGCUACAAGAAGUGUGUAAGAAGAAAAACUGGUGCCAUGAUUCUGCUCAUAGUUGAAGAAAUAAUGGAGACUGAAUUUAAAUGCCCUCGAUGGACAACAUUAAAGAUUUUAUAUGUUCUUACCUAUUUUUUGUGUCCAGCUUUAAUUACACUUGGCCUGAGCUUGUCGUCCCAGCCCACCUGCAUUCUCUGGUUUCGCAGCUUUGGGAAAUGUUCGUACCGACAGAAGGGUGAGAUGCUUUGCAAGGUAUUUCUUCCUCCUCUGAUCUGGAUUGUGAUCCUGCUGUGGGAUGGCAGAUACAUUGAAUGCAUAGUUUCAAGAAGUGAAGUGGACAGCAAUCAAAAUGCAAACCAAACCAGAGCAGCAGAAUCAACCACUGAAUUCUAUUCAUAUUCUCAGAUUUCAGGACUCCUCAUUCUUACAUUUGUCGUCAUUGUUUAUAGCCUGUUCCACACAUAUCCCUUCUGGUGCUGCUGUAAAAGUGAAGAAGAAUGUAGGAAAGAGGAGCUGAAGAACAUUUUAGAAGAAAAAAUACGGAAACAUGUUAAAGAAUUGCAGAAUGAAAGUAUAGAGCGGACAAUGGAAGAGGAAGUGAAACCUCUUCUGCAGAAUGUUCCUAAAAACUUCUGGAGAGAUGUAGAUUUUAAAACAGCAAUAUUAAAAAUAAAGGAGACUUUAAGGAAUGUGUUUAGAUAUACAAAUAUUGGAACACAAGAACCAACUAAACCAUGUGUUUGCAUUUAAAAUGUGCCUCCAUCAUCGGGCCCUGAUGUGCACCUGUCCUGUGUUUGGCUGGGACAGAGUUAAUUUUCUUCCUAGCAUCUGGGAUGUUUACGUGUUUUGGGUUUAAGGUGAGAAUAAUGCUGAGAACACACCGAUGUUGUAGCUGUUGCAGAGCAGUGCUUACACUGAGCCAAGGACUUUUCAGCUUCUCACACUGCCCUGCCAGCGGGCAGGCUGGGGUUGCACAAGGAGCUUUGUGCAUUGUUUCAUUUAUAUAUUCUUUUAUUAUGCUGAUUAUAGUUAUUUUCCCUUCCUUUUCUGUUCUAUUAAGCUGUCUUUAUCUCAAAACAUGUUUUUUUAAAAUACAUAUAUUUCUUCUGUUGUGUGUGUGUAUGUGCAUUUCUCUCCCCCAUCUCACUGGCUUGGGGCAGACGGGUGAAGGGAGGGGGCCAAUGAACAGUUGUGUUUCUUAGCUAGCUGUUGUGUUAAACCACAGAACAAAGUCAGAGAUGUGUGUUCAUCAUGUAAUCAAAACCACAUCUGCAGUGCACACGCCUAUUGGAACACACAUGCGAGCACAUCCCUGCAGCCACACUUGUCCCUGUAGGUCCAAAUGUGCAUCUGUGUGGGUGCAUGGAAGAGCACCCUGUGUCUUUAUUGUGCGAUUUAGGUACACGCAUCCUCCACUGAGCACAGGGAGAUGUUUUAACUCGGUAAAGAAACAUCAAUACACUCACACUAUGAUUUGGUAAACGUGAUAUAUUUUAGGUCUUAAUGUAUUGCAAAUAGAGAAAUGAGUCCUACAUCGUCUUGGCUAGACACACACAGCCCUUCCCUGUGACAGCAAACUCCAAAGAAGCACAAAGUGCAACCCCCAGCCCCUCCUUAAGCCUGCACGAGCCCUCUGCAAGAGAGCAAAGGCAGCCGUGGGCAAGGCUCCUGUGCCCUUGCCCUGUGGCAGCGCUAUCGGAUCUGGGUGCGGGUCACCGUGGCAUAUGUCGUGGUGUCACUCAUCUGCUGC
rnacentral:lncRNA from 1 species